UACGUGGGGUGCGAGCGUUGUCCGGAAUUAUUGGGCGUAAAGGGCUCGUAGGCGGUCUGUUGCGUCAGGAGUGAAAACUCGGGGCUUAACCCCGAGCCUGCUUCUGAUACGGGCAGACUAGAGGUAUGCAGGGGAGAACGGAAUUCCUGGUGUAGCGGUGAAAUGCGCAGAUAUCAGGAGGAACACCGGUGGCGAAGGCGGUUCUCUGGGCAUUACCUGACGCUGAGGAGCGAAAGUGUGGGGAGCGAACAGG
rnacentral:rRNA from 1 species